CUCUUUCGACAGAGGUCAAUAGUUCAGGUUUCCACUUGUAAUUCGUCUGAACUUCACAUGUACUUCUUGUAACAAAAACAACCACAAGGUGGCGCACUCGGAUCAGCAUGACGAUUAAAGGAAUCGCACGACGGGGCCGUGAGGAGGGAGCUGCUGACUAAAGAGAAGACAUUCAAAAAAAAGAGAAUGCACACAUCAAAAGUUAGGCCUGCUUUCACGGCUCCUUGCUGGGAGGCAAACAGGACUUCCCCUGUUUGCCGUUUCAUCUGAGCCAGUUAGACUCGAGCAGCGGCAUCAUAGGCCCCAGAAAUUGCUGAAAAAUACCGAGCUGUAAAAAUUACCGCCCUUACUGCUAAGCGGUGAGGAAGGCAGUUUUAACAGUUGGAUCCCCCGGGCCUUGGUUCAGCUGCUCUCCAUAACAUAAGGGCUUCGGUUGAGGUAAGCAUGAGAAGCCAUUUAUCUCACACUUCACUAGAACUGAUAACAUCUCUGCACCAAGAAGAGGUUUGGAGAACAACACACAUACAGAUGCAUAUUAUGCCGGACAGGUGUUAGACGCUGAUCAGAUACUGUUCACAUAAGCGUUUAGAGUAACUGCUGGUAACUGCUGAGACAGCACUCCGGGGUGACUGCUGAGAGAGGGUGGAAAAGUUUGACAAAACAGUUUAAGGGAAAGUGUUGACAAAGUAACCUGAACUAUUCUUGAUAAACGCCUAGCACCAAGCUACCCUAUGAUCUCACAUAGACUGGCUGUUUUCAACUAAACGUCUUUUCUUCUAGUUGGUGCAGUGUUCCUGUGUUCUCAUACUCUCUUCCACCCACUUCAUUAGGUACACCUGUUCAACUGCUCAUUUGCCCAAAUAGCAAAUCAGUCGAUCACAUGGCAGUGACUCAGUGCAUUUAGCCAUGUAGACAUGGUUAAGAAGACCUAAUAAAGAAUAGGUAAAUAAAGAAUCUUGAAUCUAAUAAAGUCCAAUCUGAGCAUCAGAAUGAAAAGAAAAGUGAUUGUUGAUGCUUGUUGGUUUCUGAGUAUUUUAGAAACUGCUGAUCUACUCAGAUUUUCUCAGGAGAAUGGGCAGGAAUGCUUUGAGCUGACUGACAGUAACUCCACUGUUACUUGAUAUGUUACUUGAUAAUGUAUUCACGCUGCCACAGUAUUUGCCAACUGAGCGAUGUUGUUGAACAAGCUGUUCUUUUCAGGACAUGUAAUAUCAGCAACUUGCGAUAUGCAGUCCUUCAGAAACUGCCCUUCGGUGAAUCACUUUCCUGCUUUGGCGAUUAAUUCAUUAACCGCAUAACGUCCUUACUGAAUUGUGGAAAAGUUCUUGCAGGGAUAGUAGUCGUCUUUGUAGCUGCUCUGCUAUUUUUUCUGUCUUCUCCCUUGUUAUUCUCAUUACGCUCUUUGUGUUUAGUUGCAUAAUGACACUUGAGAUUAUAUUCCUUCAACACAGCAAUUUUCUGCUUGCAUAUAAGGCAGAUCACAUUUCCAUAAAAUUCAACAAAAAAUACUGCAGUAUGCAUCUUUCUUGAAAUUGUCUGUGUUCUUCAUCCACUUCUGCUUCUUUUUGUUCUGCUAGUACGACUUUUUCUUCUUCUUUUCCUGCUUCAUGUUAUCUGCCCCGAUCGCAUCAAACACUGCACUUACCUAAUUGAACAAAGUAAGUGCGUGGGCCGGGAGGUUGAGACCUCUGGUGUAAAGGAUAUUUUCUUGCCACACUUUGAGCACCUUAGUACCAUUGAGCAUGAAUUAAACACCACAGCCUACCUGAGUGUUUUUGCUGAUCAUGCGCCUCCCUUCAUGAUUACAGUGCACCAGUCUUCUGAUGACUACUGUCAGCAAAAUAACACACCUAUGCCAUAAAGGUGAAACCAACUUAAAUUG